ensembl:lncRNA
GUUUAACCCAACCUUCUGGGUAGUAACCCAACCGCUGGGUCAAAACAAUCCAGUUGCUGGGUUUGUCCAAUUUUACCCAGCACUGGGUUGCAUUUAACCCAGCAUUUUUUAGAGUAUAUACAAUAGCAAUUAAUGAAACGGAAGUCUUGUACAUUCACAGAAAAGAUUGCGUUGCAAAAAAAAGGUGGGUAUGACUUUCUGUUAUUUGAAUUCUUUGACUCUCAUUACUGACUAAUGCAUGAAAGGACCCAAAACAUGCACAUGAGGUGUAACACACUUGUAUCUCUGCCCAACUUAAACUGCCAAAGGAUGACAUCUCCAAGACUCUACAGAACAUCCUACACUAUGAUGAGAAACAUGGACAUAAUGAGGACUCAAUGGAUGAAGAAACUUUCAUCAGAGUUCACUUAGAUGUCACUCAGUGCCUGAACUAUGCUAUUUUUGAUGCUAAAAAAGUUGGUCUGACUUUGAUGCAUGCAGUACAAAUACUCUGUAGUGGAGAGCUGCAUGGUUUUGUUCAGAAGUAUGUGGAUGCUAAGAACAAACGUCUAUAAAAAACAAACGUUUACAGAGACAAACUCUGUGUAUCUGUUUCGGAUAAUCAACACCUGCAUGCAACUCAGGCCAAUUUAGAAGGUUAUUUUGAGAAAAGAGAUGGGCAUAUUGAUAUCCUGAUGGAGGCAAUCCAAAGGCAGUGUGCAUCUCUGCCUGAGACUGCUUCAGAGAUCAAAACGGUCAUUGUGAAAAUAGCUUACGACAGUGUUUCCAAAGUGUACCUGGAAUGCUUGAUGAAGACAAAUGUCAGAAAGCUAGAGAUGCUUUGGGGAAAUGCUGAGGAAAAGAUAAAAGAGGAUGUUCAACAUUUUCACCAAAUAUUCUCUGACCUGAAUGGCAUUGCUGCCCAGGAGAGCUCCUUCAGAGAAUGAGUGUUUUGCUUUACAGUCAUGUAAAAACGAAGGACGUUACCAAUGCUUUGUUCAAAGACUUCCCUCAGGAGAGUGAGCAGUAUGUACCUGGUCUGCUGCGCUGGAAGGGUGUGUUAUCAGAGCAACAGGUGAAGGAAGUGCUGGAUGAGAUUCGGGAACCCUGCCAAAAUCCAGAUCCUACACAUGUCACCUGUUUUCUUCUGAAGGGACUUUUUUGUUGUAAAUAGCUUGAGGUCAGAGGUCAGUAAAAGUAAGCUAUGGAGAAUGUUCUCUGAACAUUGUGCUAUUUAUAUUUUCAAGC